GCUUGCUUAUACAUGUCCUAAAAUGAUCAUUUCUACAUUUAACCAAAAUCUAACAUUAUGUGUCAUGUGCCUUCAAUCACAAUUCAACCCACAAACUUCUAACACAAUACCUCCUCUCGACACAAAUGGGUUGAUUCGUACCCAAACCAAUGACAAAACUGAAGCUAUAAGUAUUGACCAGACAACAAUUAUGGUAGGAAGCCUGUCUUGUUUGGCCAUCAAACC
rnacentral:misc_RNA from 1 species